UAAUAAUAAGAGGCAACGCCUCUUUUUCUCUCAGAACCGAGAGAAGAAAAGAAAAGAAGAAAAAGAAAAGAUGGAGAAACUUUUUCCAUUUUCGCGAUCUACGGAGAUCCAACGGCUUGAUCUUCAAUCCGUCUUCGGAAACGUGAUCCAUGUACUCGGAUCUACGUUUUCACCGAUUGUUUUGAGUGACGCAUUGCAAUGUGGUGUCUAGGAGACCCAGUGCCUAAUAUCCACGCAACCAAGACGUUUAUGCUUUGGUUGCAGGUUUUGCGGAUAUAGUUAUUGACUCGUUCACCGAGUGUAUGUGAUGCUAUGAUUGGAGCAUAUCGCGACAGUCAUAAGUCACGGACUCAUGGGUAGUCCGCAUUUUGGGUAUUUUAUUUAUGGCUCGUGUUCUACAUGACACAUGUAUUUGUUGAGUCUAUAUUUGGUAUGUAAUUAGUGUAAUAUUUUUAUAAGCCUUAAAUAGAUAGACUUGUAAAUGGCUCUUGUUGUAAUUAAUUGUUAUGUAUUAUAUGUAUUUCCGCUUAUGAUA